ensembl:snoRNA SNORA63 Small nucleolar RNA SNORA63
AUGCAGGCACAGUUACAAUAUAACUGAAGUGUUCUAUUGUCGUUCCCCCUGCUUAAAGCAUAUGAUACAUUACUAUCUCUGUCUAGCUUUAUUCCAUACUAAGACAGAGACGCUUGGUCUCAAACAU